rnacentral:rRNA from 14 species
GCCUUCAGUUGCCAGCAUUUAGUUGGGCACUCUGGAGGGACUGCCGGUGACAAGCCGGAGGAAGGUGGGGAUGACGUCAAGUCCUCAUGGCCCUUAUGGGUUGGGCUACACACGUGCUACAAUGGCGGCGACAGAGGGCAGCGACCCCGCGAGGGUGAGCUAAUCCCAUAAAACGUUUCGUAGUCCGGAUCGCAGUCUGCAACUCGACUGCGUGAAGUCGGAAUCGCUAGUAAUCGUGAAUCAGAAUGUCACGGUGAAUACGUUCCCGGGUCUUGUACACACCGCCCGUCACACCAUGGAAGUUUGUUGCACCAGAAGUAGGUAGCUUAACCCUCGGGAGGGCGCUUACCACGGUGUGGUCAAUGACUGGGGUGAAGUCGAAACAAGGUAGCCGUAGGGGAACCUGCGGCUGGAUCACCUCCUU